UACGUAGGGGGCGAGCGUUGUCCGGAUUUAUUGGGCGUAAAGAGCUCGUAGGCGGCUUGUUGCGUCGGCUGUGAAAACCCGCGGCUCAACCGUGGGCUUGCAGCCGAUACGGGCAGGCUAGAGUUCGGUAGGGGAGAGUGGAAUUCCUGGUGUAGCGGUGAAAUGCGCAGAUAUCAGGAAGAACACCCGUGGCGAAGGCGGCUCUCUGGGACGUGACUGACGCUGAGACGCGAAAGCGUGGGGAGCGAACAGG
rnacentral:rRNA from 1 species